AAAAACAUCGCCUUUAGUCCACCUAUUAAAGGUCCAUUCUGCCCUAUGAAAAUUUUAAAUGGCCGCGGUACCCUGACCGUGCUAAGGUAGCAUAAUCAUUUGCCUCUUAAUUAGAGGCUUGUAUGAAGGAACAUACGUGGGCAUUUCUGUUUCAUUUUCUUAUAUAAAAACUAUUCUUUAGGUGAAGAGACCUAAAUUAAAUAAAAAGACAAAAAGACCCUAUUGAGCUUUAUCUAAUCUAUUUUACUCAUAAAAAAUUAUUACCCUUAAUAAUAUAGAUAGAUUUUGUUGGGGCGACAAAAGAAGAACUAAAUCUUCUUUCCUUAAUUAAGACCACAAAUCGCUUCUUUGAUCCAAAAAUUUUGAUCAACGAAUCAAGCUACCAUAGGGAUAACAGGCUAAUUUUCUUUGAGAGCCCAUAUUGACAAGAAAGAUUGGCACCUCGAUGUUGGCUUAGGGCUCCUAUAAAAUGCAGAAGUUUUAUAAGUAGGUUUGUUCAACCUUUAAAGCCCUACGUGAUCU
rnacentral:rRNA from 1 species